rnacentral:lncRNA from 10 species
CCAUUUCCGGGCUGAAGCAUGGAGAAGCAGAGAAGCAUGUGAUCUCCCCGCAGUCUCUUCCGGUCUUGCGACCCAGAAGGCCUUGUGGUGACAUGGUGGAACUGAGCUGAGCUGGAAGCAGCCCAGGUUGCCAAAUUGUCACUUGGAAGACACCCCUGGCAACCUUUGUAGAGCAGCAAAAUUUCACCCAAGGGGAUCUCCCAUUCCUCUUUCCUGGAAGAGACUCCAGGGUAAGCAAAAAAUAGAUCCCAUCUCACCUCUACAGGGUGUGAGAAUCCUACAGAACUCUUGGUGCAUUUUGUAAAACCACAAACUUCUUGAGUUUGGAAAGAAUUCUGGAGUCUUUCAGUCCUAAGUCACAGACCCCAGCAUUGAUUAUGGAGUCUACAGCAGCACAGAAUUCCAGAGUCACAGAAAUCAAAGCUCCAGGACAGUCCUGGAAAGAAACAGGAGAGCGUGGCCACCCAUCUGCCCAGCCACCAAGGCCUAACCCACCAGCGGGGCUAUAUUGGCUUCUUCUUGGGGACGCCCAGUACAGCAGGCCCCCUGGUCCUCCCUCCCCAGGCCUGUGUCUCACGUCCCCACAGUGGGAUUGCAAGCAAGCUGUCCCCAUGCAGCAGAUAAAUAAAUAAAUAAAUAAAGAGCAUGACUUUGUGUUUGAAGGACGAAUGCCAAGUUUCCUCUCUGGGGCCCUCUCGCAAACCUCCAUAUAUCACCUUCACAUGACCAGGCUGGCAGGCCUGCCACCCCCAGCUCUGCUUGGCUGUGAUAAACAUAGAAGACAAUGCAUUGCCUACACCCUCAGGCCCUGAAAUGAGGGAAGGGGUGGAAAAAUCCAUCGAAGCCAUUCUAGAUUUAUGUUUGAAACAUUCCAGAUUUAUGUUUUCCUUUGUCAGGGGAGAAAACAAGCAGAUAUUCCUAAAGGUGUACCUUAUAAGCCAGCGCACGUGUGAAGGGGCAUCGUGCUGUUUUUGGCAACCACGCUGAGUUCAGUUUUUGCACCAGGACCUGGACGUGCACACUGACAGGCCCUCAUCCCAUCACCUUUGGCUUCGCUGCAUCCUUCCUUGCUUUGAAUCACUUCCUCGACUCCUUCUCCAGGAAUACUUCCCAGAUUAGACUCAUCUAUUUCCCAGCCCUUCACCUCAAGCUCUGGGACUCUUCUCAGCCCCCAAUGAGUAUAGGUCAUUCCAUAAUUGUUUGUUUCUUUUCAUUCCAUGAGUUCCUAGAGAAUGUUGGCUGCCUUUCCCGCCCUCAGACCAGGAACUCCCCCAGGGAAGGGACAUGCCUCCCAUCAAUCCAGGUACUCCUACGGACAGAAUGACUGCCCUUCCACACUAUCCUUUUGGUAGGUUAAUUCACCCUGUAUUAAAAAGAAUGUGACUAUACCGUCUAAACGGGUAUUCCAAACAAGGAGAGACACUUGUGGAGCUUGAAAGUGCAUGCAAAAUGCUUGUCUAUACUUACUGUUUUUUGGAAAGAGGACUAUCGCUUUCAAGUGAUUCCUAAAUAGAUCUGUUGAGAGCCAAAGUGAGACCUUAGGAAGCACCCAGCACUGAAAAGACUGUGGUGCUGCCCUACUAGCACCCACAUAGGUAAUUCAAGACAAAACGGCACUGAGCUGUGCAAUGCCAAGCGCCCAUGAUGCCUAAGUUCAUCAGAGCUAAACAGCUCAUAAUUUUGCUAAUAUUCUUAGUGCAUGCUAAGUCCCCUUAGCAUAUAGGUGACUCCUGCCCUGGAUUUGCCAUGUAGAAAAGGUGAAAAAGCACAGUUUCUGGGGGAGGUUGAGAGCAAAGCUGGUGACUCCCAGGAUGGAGAUGGAGAACAGAACACGUCCCUCCCAGCCUCGGAGGUAGGCAAACAGGCAGGAUAUUAGUCUAUAUCUGCCACUGGAAACCUCUGUUUCCCCAAUCGGGGGAGGAGCUAAGGAGGUGGAGUCAUUUCUAUGUUUUCCAAACUGGGAUCAGACACAGAAUGAAACUAUAAUAUCAGCUGGGCUUUGCUGGGCUUGGAAACCACUGAGUUCUUACCUCCCCAAAUAUCCACGCCUACCCCUUCCCUGCCCUCCCUCUCUGAACCCAGGAAAGCAUCUGAAAUGCUCCAGUGAAGAAAGGACUUGAAGACCCUCAUGAAAUCCUCCACUGUCUUCAAAAAGCCAUCAGCCCUGAAUCUGGUCAUCCUCAUACACCCCAAACCCACUCUGCCAUGGCCAAACCAAACACUCUACGCACAGCCCUGGAAGCCAAAUCACCCAAGCCAAAGGAUCAAGGUGAAGGCUGAGACCCUGCUUCUCAACUCUCUCAGGACUCAGAGACCAUCAGGAGAUGCACAGUGGAUGUUGGAUAAUGUCUGGGGCUCCAGAUUAGGAAUUGGGAAAACCAGUUCCAGUUUCUGGCUCAGCCACUGCUGUGCUACUAGAAAUUCUAUCAACUGAAAAUUACAAUAGCACUUGACCCCCACACCCUGCCAACAACCCCAACCCCAGGAGAGCCUCAGAACUGAGGCCAGCCUCUGAACAGCAGCACCAAUGGAGGGUUCAGAAAAGGAUGAAUGGCAAAGUGAGAAAGGGGAGCUGAAGAGAAUAAAAACACAACCUAAGCCUGGAAGUGGGGCUGGGGCGGGGCGGGCAACAGGGCAAUUGCCAACAGGUAGGAGGUGGAGAGGAGGUCGUCCUGCAUACAUGGGGGAUGGGGAAGGUAAUCUCUAUCCUGUACCCCCAGCACCCUGAGAAUUAAAACCACAAUCCUGACCCAUGCACACAACAGAACACUGCGGGGCCAUAAACUACAAUGUUGGGAGGAUAUUUAUUGACGUGGAAAAAUGCUUACAUAUAUUUCAAGUGAAAAGGCAGGUUGCAAAAUAAUAUGUACAGUAUGAUGCCAUUCUUGUAAGGGGAAAAAUAUCUUUAUACAAGUCUGGAAAUAUAUACACCCAA